CUGGCGUCACGUCUCACCGGGUUGAGCCAUCGACGACACCACGCAGUGACUCGCAGCAGCCGUUGCAGCGUCGGGAACCGCAGAAGAAGGUCCGGUUCGGUAAUGACUGGCGCCUUGACUACCAGGCUGGUGACUCGUUGCUCAGGGAGGUCAUCCUCUGGGACGUCGAUGUCUGCACCAGGCCAGGCAGCCUCGUCUCCUGACAGCCAGGGUUUUCUCGUCCGGCGACGUGUCUCCAAUGAGCGUCUGGAAGCAGGGUCUGGAUCUGCGACACUCGGUUGGCAACAAAGGUCUUCCAGCGGGUGCAGUGUCCGCGAAUCCAGUGAAGAGUGACCUUGGAGUCGGACCACAGGUGCACCGGCGUAGCAGCCAAGCCGAGGGUAGUGCGUACAUGCAACAUGAGCGUGCGUUGCGGAUGUAUACGACGGCGGCGUAUCCUCGCUCCGAUGCAUCGGCAAACCCAUGGAGCUGCAGUUGCGACUGGUCAUCUCCGGUGCUGAGCCAACGAUCCACACGGAUGUGAUCCAGCAACGGAAGUUGAUUCAGCAGUUGUCUCCAGCGGUGUGCGUCCUGAUCAGGCAGCGGAGAGUCCCAAUCCAGCCGUUGAAGCCACGUAGACUGGAUCAGAAUUUUGGCUCGGAUGACGACAGGCGCUAGCCAGCCCAUCGGAUCGAAUAGUCGAGCUGUCUCGGCCAAGACUCGUCUCUUCGUGAGGUCGGUGGUUGAACGCGGACGUAUGGUGAAGGAGAACCAAUCCCCUUGAGGAUGCCAUCGAAGACCCAGGGUGGCGUGGCUCUCUCCUUCCCACGAGCGCGGUCCGCGUUGAAGCCGAUGUUCCGGCGGAAUUCCGGUGAGCACCUGCUGGUUGUUGGCAGCCCACUUUCGCAAAGGAAACCCGCCCGCCAUGC